rnacentral:rRNA from 1 species
UACGGGGGGAGCAAGCGUUGUUCGGAUUUACUGGGCGUAAAGGGCGCGUAGGCGGCCUCUGCAAGUCGACUGUGAAAUCUCCGGGCUUAACCCGGAAAGGUCAGCCGAUACUGCAGGGCUAGAGUGCAGAAGGGGCAACUGGAAUUCUCGGUGUAGCGGUGAAAUGCGUAGAUAUCCGAAGGAACACCGGUGGCGAAGGCGGCACGCUGGGUCCCUACUGACGCUGAGGCGCGAAAGCCAGGGGAGCGAACGGG